rnacentral:rRNA from 1 species
AUUGAACGCUGGCGGCAGGCUUAACACAUGCAAGUCGAGCGGGGGAAGGUAGCUUGCUACCGGACCUAGCGGCGGACGGGUGAGUAAUGCUUAGGAAUCUGCCUAUUAGUGGGGGACAACAUCCCGAAAGGGAUGCUAAUACCGCAUACGUCCUACGGGAGAAAGCAGGGGAUCUUCGGACCUUGCGCUAAUAGAUGAGCCUAAGUCGGAUUAGCUAGUUGGUGGGGUAAAGGCCUACCAAGGCGACGAUCUGUAGCGGGUCUGAGAGGAUGAUCCGCCACACUGGGACUGAGACACGGCCCAGACUCCUACGGGAGGCAGCAGUGGGGAAUAUUGGACAAUGGGGGGAACCCUGAUCCAGCCAUGCCGCGUGUGUGAAGAAGGCCUUAUGGUUGUAAAGCACUUUAAGCGAGGAGGAGGCUCUUUUGGUUAAUACCCAGAAUGAGUGGACGUUACUCGCAGAAUAAGCACCGGCUAACUCUGUGCCAGCAGCCGCCGUAAGAC